UACGUAGGGGGCAAGCGUUGUCCGGAUUUAUUGGGCGUAAAGAGCGUGUAGGCGGCCGUACAGGUCAGCUGUGAAAACUCGAGGCUCAACCUCGAGACGUCGGUUGAAACCGUACGGCUAGAGUCCGGAAGAGGAGAGUGGAAUUCCCGGUGUAGCGGUGAAAUGCGCAGAUAUCGGGAAGAACACCCGUGGCGAAAGCGGCUCACUGGACCAUAACUGACGCUGAUGCACGAAAGCUAGGGGAGCAAACAGG
rnacentral:rRNA from 1 species